rnacentral:rRNA from 1 species
UGAGCAAUCUGCCCUUCACAUCGGAAUAACCAUUGGAAACGAUGGCUAAUACCGAAUAUGACUUCGGAUCGCAUGAUCUGAAGUGGAAAGCUCCGGCGGGGAAGGAUGAGCUCGCGGCCUAUCAGCUUGUUGGUGAGGUAAUAGCUCACCAAGGCGACGACGGGUAGCUGGUCUGAGAGGACGACCAGCCACACUGGGACUGAGACACGGCAGA